GUAUCGCUGGCGGAGCCGGUACCACGGCGGCGUCGGCGGCGACGCGGGCGCGUCGCUUCGCCAGCGGCGUUCCCGCCGUCGGCGGUGAU
rnacentral:tRNA from 1 species